rnacentral:lncRNA from 1 species
CCCCGCGGCCCCCACGGUGACUUGAGCCCCCCCCCCAGGACUGCGGUCCCCAGAAAUUCUCCGGGUAGCCCUCCCUCUGCAGGGCCCAGGCGGGAAACGAGAAGUUCCCACCCCCUCCUCCCCUCCCCCAGCCCCGAGGGGAGGGGCGAGGGUCCGGAUCUCCGGGUCAGGGAGCAGCGUCUGCUGUGGAUCGCAGGAGACAAACACGCCGUCACACACACACACACACGCACACACACACACAUCACCCUCGGGAUCACCUCUGAAGCCCGCAUUGUACCGGAGGGGAGGCGGCGGGUGGGGGGCCUCUACGUGCCUGGAGUCACCAGCCAAUCACCAAGCCGGAGAGAGGCUGGAACCCACGACCCGGGCCCCCGACCCAAGCCUCUGGCCUCCACCGCACACCCCACCCCGCCUAGCCCUUCCGACGUCAACAUCUCUAACCCAAACAAGGCCCUCCCCCGAAGGAGUUCCCCUCCCCCUCCCCCUGGCCGGGGUCCGCAGCCCCCGGAGGGACCGAGUCGCGACCACCACCACCACCCCCACCACCACCCCCGCCGCCAACCGCACAGGCGCGAGGUUUCAUUGUCAGCCUGGCCACUGGGGCGCGCGCGAGGCGGGGGUGCAGGGCAGGGGGACUGUCUCGGCCGGUGGGGAGGGGUCUCCAGGGGAAGUGUUUGCAGCAGCUCCUCCCGCUCGGUCCAGAUCCGGAAGCCGCAGGGAGAGGAGGAAGGCGGGGGUGGGGAGAGCGCGACCUCGGCGCCCGCGGGCGAUGAGGAGGGGCCGCGGCGGCCGGAGGAAGCGCCCGAGGCGUCGGGGGCGCCGAGUCCCCCGGGAGGCUGCGCUCUCGGGAAGUUUCCCACCGGUUGCCCGGAGCAGGACAGGGCGCGCGCGCGGCCCUCCCCGCCUGACCAGCUCCGGGGCGCAGACUGCGAACUUGAGCAAAACUCCUUCCUUCUCUGCGUCCCUCCCCUCGGUCCGCGGCCACCAGCCCCGCCAUCUCGACCCCCAGCCUUCAAGCCAGUGCCACGGUCGCCAAGACCCCUCGCCAAUGUAUCGUGGAGGAAACGGGGGGGCGGAAUCCCCAGCACAACCAAACUGCGGUCAAAAAAAAAAAAAAAAAGGGAAAGAAAGAAAUUCCUCCUCCUGAGACCGAUUCCCUCAACCGGUGUGGAAAACCCCAAACAAGCAGAUCUGCAACUCCAGCCAAGAUCGCGGCGGCGCACGGCGGGAGGGGUGCCGGUGGCGGGCGGCGACCCCCGCCGGCAGCCCCGGGAGCCCUCGCGCCCAGAUCGGCCCCCCGAAGACACAAAGCUCCACCGCCAACAAUACCUGCGGGCUCCUCCUGGGUCUCCCGGGCGCCGGCGCUGCGCGUCUCGCCGCCUCCCUUCCCCGCGCCGCCUCUCCUCCUCCGCUCGCGCGCGCUCUCCCCUCGUCUCUUCCAGAACGCGGCGGCCGGAUGAGAUCCUUGGGAGAAAAAAAUGUGAGCGCUCGCACGAUUCCUUUCUCUCCGCCCGCCGCUCUCGGCGGCCCGGGGCUCGCUCCUUUCUCCCCCGCGCUCCCGCGCGCGCCGCGCCUCUCGCGCCCCGCGUUUCCUUCUCAGCAGCCCCUGCGAGCGCCCUCAGUAGCCAUUAUUCACGGGCCACCGGGGGACAGGAGGAAGAGACCGCCCCGUGGCCGCAUCCACUCGGCGAGCGCGAUGCGGGCGCGGGGCGCGCGCGGGGAGGGGCGCGCGAUGAGGGGGCUUGGCUGCGCGCAGCCCGCGCCCCAGACGCGGGGGAGGGGAGGAGGAGGAGGGGGGAGAGAGGGAGGAGGCGGGGGAGGAGUGGGAGCUGGCGAAGGGGGCGGGAGGAGGGGGCGCCGGGGAGACGCUCCCGCGGCUCUCGCCGCGGGGGCCGGGGUCACCGGCUGGGAGGCUCCGAGGCGCUUAGGAACUGGAGUGGGGGGGGUGCGUGUCUCCGUGCGCGCGCCCGCGCGCGCGCCACAGAUGGCUGGGGAGGGAAGGAACGCUUUAAUAUUUUCCCAGUGACUUACGAGCCCGGGGUGAGCUCCUGGAUGCGCGUUUUAGUCCGUGUGUGUAUCCGUGUGGCUGUGUAUUUUCUGAUCCGCCUUCCGUGCGAAUGUCACGGGGUUUGGGGGUCUGCCGAGAGCUUGUGA